UUUAUUUUAUUAAAUAUCUGCUGUGGUUUGUAUUUAACAGGGGAAGGAGCCAUGUUCGGUUCCCUGUCCACAUGCAAGGACAACACCUCCAGCUUCUUCUGCUCUGGCAGGUAAAGAAGACUUUGAGUUGUUGAGUCUUUAUUUUGCAUUUGUAGCGCUGACGUUGGUUCGUGCGUGUCCCUCAGUGGUCGUGGGUGUCACUUCCUUCACCUCCACAAGGGGGCGUGUCAGACGGACCCGUACCUGGAGGGUUGCCAGGUCUAUAAAAUCCUGCACAACGGAAGUGAAUGUUGGAAAAAGGAAAACAAGCUUCAAUCGGCUCAGAACCUGAGUGGGGAGGUUUUCGGUUCUGACAGCAGAUGCUUCUUCUCCAACCUGACCAGACAGGUGUGUGUGUGUGUGCGUGCGUGCGUGCGUGCGUGCGUGCGUGCGUGCGUGCGUGCGUGCGUGCGUGCGUGCGUGCGUGCGUGCGUGCGUGCGUGCGUGCGUGCGUGUGUGUGUGUGUGUGUGUGUGUGCGUGCGUGUAUCUGCUUCCUUCUCUUUAUUUCUACGCCCGUCUCCUUCCAGAAUCACAGUCCUCCUCCAUCCUUCAGCAGCCCAGUGGUCGGCUGCUGUUACAGACACAGGUGUACUGGACCGAACCAGUACCAGAUCCAAGUGUCAGACUCUGAUUGGCUCGACUGUCCAGCAGGGAGAACAGUCCAGGUAACAAGUAAAGACAGUGAUGAGGGCAAUGUGCAAGAUGAAGCAAGUUUUUGAAAAUAUGCCUGAUUUUUAAGCUUAUGAUUCUUUGUAUUCUAGUUGAUUUAUAACUUGAAUACUGGCAGUUACUGUCAGUAUUACAUACAAACAGUAUUAAAAGUUUAAUCUGUCUGUGUUUUAGAUAAACGGGUACUGGGGCUUCGUUUUCUGCCCUGACAGGAGGUUGUGUCUGUUCCCUGACGUUUCUCCUCCCUCCGGUGACAUCAGCGCGGUUCCCGCUUCCACCUUCAGGCAUCUACGACUUUAAACCAGCAUCCUCCUGGUUUGUUCGGACCUGUAAUUGACUCUAACUUGACAGAGCUGUGUUUUUCCUCACAGCUCUGUUUUUCCGUCUGGGACGUCGGCCCACGGGACCUUCAGAGCUGCUGCAGAGGUCACGGCCGUCUCAGCGCUGAGCUUCACUGCUGCUGUGAGCGUCCUGGCUGCCGCUGUGGCCUGUGUGAGGAAGUGUGGCAGCCGCAGGAUGAGGAUCCGCUCAUCUGGAGAUGACGCAGCCGACCCGGAACCCGGGGGCCGGAAUGUAUAGCUACUGGAACUUCAAUGUGAUUUAGACUCAAUCUAGAAUCUAUAACUAAAAAAAAUAAUUAAAAAUGAAUCAAAUGUUUUGUUUUCUUAGGGUCUCACUUGUUGUCAACAACACAAAGCAGAAGCACAAACCCAGUUAAAAUCUAGUAUAAUUGGCUGUGAACAGGCCUUAUAAAUAAAUUAUAAAUUCAUAAAUGAAUGGAUAUGGAC
rnacentral:lncRNA from 1 species